rnacentral:rRNA from 1 species
GACGAACGCUGGCGGCGUGCUUAACACAUGCAAGUCGAACGGAAAGGCCCUGCUUUUGUGGGGUGCUCGAGUGGCGAACGGGUGAGUAACACGUGAGUAACCUGCCCUUGACUUUGGGAUAACUUCAGGAAACUGGGGCUAAUACCGGAUAGGAGCUCCUGCUGCAUGGUGGGGGUUGGAAAGUUUCGGCGGUUGGGGAUGGACUCGCGGCUUAUCAGCUUGUUGGUGGGGUAGUGGCUUACCAAGGCUUUGACGGGUAGCCGGCCUGAGAGGGUGACCGGCCACAUUGGGACUGAGAUACGGCCCAGACUCCUACGGGAGGCAGCAGUGGGGAAUAUUGCACAAUGGGCGGAAGCCUGAUGCGACAACGCCGCGUGCGGGAUGACGGCCUUCGGGUUGUAAACCGCUUUCGCCUGUGACGAAGCGUGAGUGACGGUAAUGGGUAAAGAAGCACCGGCUAACUACGUG